rnacentral:rRNA from 1 species
AUUGAACGCUGGCGGCAGGCCUAACACAUGCAAGUCGAGCGGAUGAAGGGAGCUUGCUCCUGGAUUCAGCGGCGGACGGGUGAGUAAUGCCUAGGAAUCUGCCUGGUAGUGGGGGAUAACGUCCGGAAACGGGCGCUAAUACCGCAUACGUCCUGAGGGAGAAAGUGGGGGAUCUUCGGACCUCACGCUAUCAGAUGAGCCUAGGUCGGAUUAGCUAGUUGGUGGGGUAAAGGCCUACCAAGGCGACGAUCCGUAACUGGUCUGAGAGGAUGAUCAGUCACACGGGAACUGAGACACGGUCCAGACUCCGACGGGAGGCAGCAGUGGGGAAUAUUGGACAAUGGGCGAAAGCCUGAUCCAGCCAUGCCGCGUGUGUGAAGAAGGUCUUCGGAUUGUAAAGCACUUUAAGUUGGGAGGAAGGGCAGUAAGUUAAUACCUUGCUGUUUUGACGUUACCAACAGAAUAAGCACCGGCUAACUUCGUG